GACACCACACCAAGGAGCGCAUGAAGCAUUCUGAAGAAGAAGAAGAGGAUGCUGAAGAGGGGGAGGGUGCUUGCCGCGAGCUCAGUUCCGCUCCGGUGGAGCAGAGCGGCGAGGUGCUCAAGAGAGGUUAGGUAGGGGUCCGGGAGUAGCAGGGGGAGGUUGGUCGAGGUGAGGUGCGAUGCGGCCGUCGCGGAGAAGCCUGCUAGGGAGGAGCCGAGGAGGUGGCCGAGGAGAAGUUCGAGUAGCAGGUGAAGGAGAACAAAGACCUUGGGGCUGACAACACUCUAAUUGGUCAGUUUGGUGUUAGAUUCUACUCAGCUUUUCUUGUAGCAGAGAAGGUUGUGGUGUCCACUAAGAGCUCAAAAUCAGAUUAACAGUAUGUGUGGGAAGCCAUGGCUGACAGUAGCUCUUAUGUCAUUAAGGAAUAGACUGACUCUGAGAAAAUGCUUACACGCGGAACUCGGACUACUUUUUUUUACUUCUAUAGCCUGAUGAUUAGUAUGAGUUUGCAGACCCUUCAAGGAUUCGAGGCUUAGUUAAGAACUACUCUCAGUUUGUAUCUUCCCCCAUAUACAUGUGGCAGGAGAAAUCAAGAACUGUUGAGGUUUUUUCCUUGCUCUUGUUGAUUUGUAUUGAAUUGGCUGCUCCACUUGAUUUGUUGAUUUGUAUUCUUUCUGCACUGGUAUGUGGCUCUCCUCAUUGCAUUCUUUGUCAAAGUCACUUACAUUGAUAAUAUCUUCAUUCUCUUCAUAACUUGUCUGCAAAAUAUUGUUAAAGUUAAAAUAUUGCCAUCAACGAUAAGAUAAACUGUAAAAUAUAUGUCCCUUGGAGUACCUGAUUGUUUGAAAUUUUUGGAUUGCUGAUCUUAUCUGAUGUUGUUUCACAGUUCAACUUUCUCUUUUUUAAUUUUUGAGCAGUUUGAUGAUUUCUAUUUUCACCAAUUUCCCUUUGUUGUUCCUACAAAAACAUAUCAAAAAUAUUAUACAAUUACAUAUUAACUAAUAAAUAUGAAAUAUGAUGUUAUGUUUCUUUGGCGUACUUCAUUGUUAUAACAAUUUGAUUCCCUCUGCAUGUAAAUGUCAUCCUGUAAUCAAUAGUAAAGAAGCAUUGUUAGUGUUAUUUGUAAUUAUGAAAAAAUAAACUAAUAUGUAAAAUGGCUGAAUAUUUGAAAUUAUUGUCUACAAUACAACCUUUCUUUCUUUCUGUUUUCCAUGGAAAAUAUUUUUCUUUGACCUUUUGGCUGAUUUCAAGAUAACUUGAUUAUCAUCCCUUAGAAAUUCAGAAUCAUCGAUACCUUCUUCCUACAAAUAAAACACACGCACACAUAGACAAAAAUACUUGUUAAAUUCUAAAUACCUAUUAAAGCAACAUGUAAAAUGAAAAUGCUAUUUAUUCUGGUACCUCAUUAGUUGAAGAUUUUGUUUCCAUCACAACCACUGAGCCUUUUCUUUUUCCAUGCACAACUUUCCUUAAUUUUUUUUCGGCCUUUUUAAAUCUUUGUUACCAUCCUUUACCAUUUCACCAACAUUUUGUUCUGCAACAACACGUUUCUUUUUUCCCCUGUUCAUCUUUUUGGCCAAUCUUAUUUCCUCAACUUGAUUAUUCGAAAAUUUCAAUUCAAGCUCAUCAAUCUUUUUGGCCACUCUUGUGCCAAUCUUAAUGGAUUUUUCUAAUUCAGCUUUCUUUUUGGAAUGAUUGUAUUCAGCGUCUAAAGCUUCAUCAACUUGAGGUCUUCUCUUUAACAAUUUUCCAUCAUCAAUCUUACUUUUUUUGCUAUAAACUGUAAUAUUAUUUUCUUCUUCAUCUGAGUCAUCUUCGACAAUCAUUACUCUCUGUCUUCUUUGAUUGAUAUCUUUGAGUUUCUUCGAUGAUGAAAAUUUUCCUUUACAUUUAUUGUAAUCCAUGUUG